GAUGAACGCUAGCGGGAGGCCUAACACAUGCAAGCCGAGCGGUAGAGUUCCUUCGGGUCCUUGAGAGCGGCGUACGGGUGCGUAACACGUGUGCAACCUACCUUUAUCUGGGGGAUAGCCUUUCGAAAGGAAGAUUAAUACCCCAUAAUAUAAUGAUUGGCAUCAAUUAUUAUUGAAAACUCCGGUGGAUAGAGAUGGGCACGCGCAAGAUUAGAUAGUUGGUGAGGUAACGGCUCACCAAGCCAAUGAUCUUUAGGGGUCCUGAGAGGGAGAUCCCCCACAAUGGUACUGAGACACAGACCAGAAUCCUACGGGAGGGAGCAGUGAGGAAUAUUGGACAAGGGGUGAAAGCCUGAUCCAGCCAUCCCGCGUGAAGGAGGACGGUCCUAGGGAUGGUAAACUUCUUUUGUACAGGGAUAAACCUACUCUCGUGAGGGUAGCUGAAGGUACUGUACGAAUAAGCACCGGCUAACUCCGUG
rnacentral:rRNA from 1 species